rnacentral:rRNA from 1 species
GACGAACGCUGGCGGCGUGCCUAACACAUGCAAGUCGAACGAAGUCGCGAACGGGUGAGUAACGCGUAAUCAACCUGCCCUUCAGAGGGGGACAACAGUUGGAAACGACUGCUAAUACCGCAUACUGAAGGAGGGGAUUGCGUUUGAUUAGCUCGUUGGAGGGGUAACGGCCCACCACGGCGAUGAUCAGUAGCCGGUCUGGGAGGAAGAACGGCCACAUUGGGACUGAGACACGGCCCAGGCUCCUACGGGAAGCAGCAAUGGGGAAUCUUCCGCAAUGGAGGGAAGUCUGGCGGAGCAACGCCGCGUGGGGGAUGAAGGGCUUCGGGUUGUAAAGCUAUGUUAAUCGGGACGCGGUACCGGAAUAGAAAGCCACGGCUAACUACGUGCCAGCAGCCGCGGUAAUAC